rnacentral:tRNA from 1 species
GCCUCGAUAGCUCAGUCGGGAGAUCGUUAGACUGAAGAUCUAAAGGUCUCUGGUUCAAUCCCGGGUCGAGGCA